rnacentral:lncRNA from 1 species
ACCUCUGUUGUGAUUCCACCUACCCCCCAGACAGGGGCAAUCCAGGAUAAAGAGAAGACGGUGCCAGAGUCAUGCCAGCCGGGAUUGUUCUCUCGCCCCGGAUUCACUACAGAACUAAGAGUCCCCCAUGCUGGUCCUCUCAGGCCAUCUGGAGUUGGGAAAAGCAGACGGAAGCAAGGCCAGGCCCCCUGUCGACGAGAUGCUCUGGGAUAUAGCAGAAACAAAGAGAUGCACCCUUCCCGUGGCUGCCAGAAAAUCUCUCGAGGUGGAAAUCUGCUCACAUAUCUCCCUGCCCACCGUCCACCAUGGGCUCCUGCCUGCCUGGGGGGAAAAAACCCCUGUCCUUAUCUGGGUGAACCAGGGCCCUCCAUACUCUGUCCUGCCCGGAAGCACAUUUCUCUCCCUCCCCUCCAGUCUUACAGCCCAAGCCCCGUCACGCCAACCUUCUCUGCCUUCGGGGAACGCAGUAUAUCCUUCCCAAACUUCUCCCUUUGCACAUGCUGUGCCCUCUUUCUGGAAUGCCCUUCCCUUCUGCCUUGGGCAAGGGCAGAGGUGGCGGGGAGGAGGUUUGGAUAUCCCAUGGAGUUUGGGCUGGAUCCUUUUGCCUGGUGAUUCUCAAACAUUGUCACAUGACAAAGCUCCUAUAACACACCAGUCCUUUUCAGGACACCACCGACUCUUGAUACUUUUAAGAGACAGCCCUCUUUGA